rnacentral:rRNA from 1 species
UACGAAGGGGGGCUAGCGUUGUUCGGAAUUACUGGGCGUAAAGGGCGCGUAGGCGGUACUUCAAGUCAGGCGUGAAAGCCCCGGGCUCAACCUGGGAACCGCGCUUGAGACUGGAGAACUAGAGUUCGGGAGAGGAUGGUGGAAUUCCCAGUGUAGAGGUGAAAUUCGUAGAUAUUGGGAAGAACACCGAUGGCGAAGGCAGCCAUCUGGACCGACACUGACGCUGAGGCGCGAAAGCGUGGGGAGCAAACAGGG